UUAAAGAUAUUCCCUGCCAGCCUUAGCAUGAGUCUGUCACGUUAUAAAUGACUCUCCCUCCAUUUGCCAUGUAGGAAUUGUCUCAGAUACCUGGGGCAACAAGAGAGGAUGGGAGCACAUUAACAAACAUUUUGCUGUGGUGAGGCAUUCUGAAUGUGAAAUGCCUUUCAUCCAGUAUGACCAGCGUCCUUUACACCUAAAGGCUUGCUCCUCUUCAACAUGUAUUUUGUCUCCUGAUGUUUUUAAUCCUUAGGGGUGCAAGUCCUGCUCACUUCAAUUUUGCAGUCUCCUGCCCAUCUGCAUUUAGCCAACAUGAUUGUGAGAAGAAAAUCAGGGAGUCACUAUAAGGGAUGUUGCUCAUAUCGCUGUGUCCUAUCGAGUAUCUUUGCUACAGAAGAUCUCCAGCCGCUGACCGCUGUGCUCCUGUGGUGCCUGUGCUCUGCAGGAGUGACUUUGAACACCACAGAGCAGUGAGCACAGGUCUGCCAGCCCGUCCCACCGACAUUCCCACAGGCUCUGAGCCAAGCCACGGGCACCGCAGGAGACCAAGAGUGACAAAUAUUUGAAAGCACUAGCAGUGUUCCACAGAACGAAAGCAAAACCUGUAUCAAGAAGACACAGGGAAGUGAAUCAUUGCCUGAGUACAAGACAUUAAAAAUUGAAGAAUGGGAAGUCAGCGUGUGAACAUAUGGUGUGAAUACGAGCUGCAGCUCCAACGCCACAGUGAAAACCCAUUUUCGCAAAGAGUCAGUUUAAUUUUAUGAGCAUGGGGUUUUCCUGCAUUAUCACUCAACUAUAGCACUGAAAUGCUGAUCUAUAAGUGGUUAUAAAAUACAACAAAAAAGCAACUAAGCCCCACACUGCAUCAUUUAAAAACUUCAUUUUAAGAGAAAACAAUAAUUGUUAUCUAAGUAAUCAAUUUAUUAAAUAAUAGGAAAA